rnacentral:lncRNA from 1 species
UAGGUCAGGGCGACCGCGGCAGCGGCGGCGCGCGCCUGCGCGGUCCACAAGAGGGCACGAAAGGGCACGUCGCCAUAGCCCACGAGGAGGCCGCAGCGCGCCGCCAGGCACGGGGCGGCCCAGAGCACGACGGCUGCCGCGCACGUCAAAAGGUCGAUCGCCGUCUCCAUUUCACGUGACGCCUUGGUGGUUUGGGGGUCCUUGUCUCUGGUCUUGUCGUCGUCGCCGUUUCUUUUGCCGUCUUUUUUUUUGGCCGGUUCCCGAGCGUCCCUCUCCUGUUGUGCUGUCGUGCGGUGGAUGCCUGCGCUGGGUGUGCUUGGUGCGCGCGC